GAGUAGAAAACUGAAGCAGAGAAAAGAUGGUUUCAUUUUUGUUCCGCUCCAAUGACAGCUUGUAGACCUAAUGUCAAGGCUUCCCUGGUUCAUCUUCUUUCUCUUGGGGCCUUUUAGCCUUCAUGUAUUUUCUUAAUACUGGUCUUUUUCUGUAGUAUAUAACCAUUGUCCUGGUUAUAUCCGUUUUCCUUCUAGGGUUCCUAAGUCUUGGUGCAUUGAGGAUCUUUUGGGAAGCUUUUGGCUUAUAGCCCUGACUUGAAAGAACAGUGUUUAAAUAUUGCUCUCUCAAAAAACAGGUGCCAGGGUGGGUCAUCGCUCCUUGAUGAGAUACUACAAACAACGAUUCGGCUUGCCAAGAGCUGUGACAGUUGCUAGAAAUCAAAAGGCUGUGGGCAGGGUCCUCCAGCAGUACCGAGCCCUGGGGUGGACGGGCAGCACAGGAGCAGCUCUCAUGCGUGAACGGGACAUGCAGUAUGUACAGAGGAUGAAGUCGAAAUGGAUGCUGAAGACCGGGAUGAAGAACAAUGCCACCAAGCAGAUGCACUUUAGGGCCCAAGUG
rnacentral:lncRNA from 1 species